rnacentral:lncRNA from 1 species
AGUGGCCGGGCGGGAAGGCGCCGGCAGGGCGGGCAGCGUGGUGAUGCUCCCGGCUGCCAUGCCCCACCCCGGGGGGGCUCUGCCGGGGUGUCCGCGCCCCCAGAGCCGCGCGAGGAGCCGCCGCCGCCCCCGGGCCCGGGCCGACCCGGUCCGGGGCGCGGCCAUGCCCCCGGCCCUCCAGCCUCCCGCCCGGCAGCGCGCGGCAGCGCCCGCGGGCCCCCAGCCUCGCGCGGUCCUGCAGCUCCCCUCGCCAGCUGCCCUGGCGCGCGAGCCGUGAGCUGGGCGCGGGGCCCGGGAGCUGAGCGCGGGGAGCUGCACUCGGGGCCGGGGAGCUGCACUCGGGCUCGGGGAGCUGCACUCGGGGCCGGGGAGCUGCACUCGGGGCCGGGGAGCUGCACUCGGGCUCGGGGAGCUGCACUCGGGGCCGGGGAGCUGCACUCGGGCUCGGGGAGCUGCACUCGGAGCGGGGAGCUGCACUCGGGCUCGGGGAGCUGCACUCGGGCUCGGGGAGCUGCACUCGGAGCGGGGAGCUGCACUCGGGGCCGGGGAGCUGCACUCGGGCUCGGGGAGCUGCACUCGGAGCGGGGAGCUGCACUCGGGGCCGGGGAGCUGCACUCGGGGCCGGGGAGCUGCACUCGGGCUCGGGGAGCUGCGCGCGGGCCGAGGAGCUGCGCGCGGGCCGAGGAGCUGCACUCGGGCUCGGGGAACUGCACUCGGGCUCGGGGAGCUGCGCGCGGGCUCGGGGAGCUGCACUCGGGCUCGGGGAGCUGCACUCGGAGCGGGGAGCUGCACUCGGGCUCGGGGAGCUGCACUCGGGCUCGGGGAGCUGCACUCGGAGCGGGGAGCUGCACUCGGGGCCGGGGAGCUGCACUCGGGCUCGGGGAGCUGCACUCGGAGCGGGGAGCUGCACUCGGGGCCGGGGAGCUGCACUCGGGGCCGGGGAGCUGCACUCGGGCUCGGGGAGCUGCGCGCGGGCCGAGGAGCUGCGCGCGGGCCGAGGAGCUGCACUCGGGCUCGGGGAACUGCACUCGGGCUCGGGGAGCUGCGCGCGGGCUCGGGGAGCUGCACUCGGGGCCGGGGAGCUGCGCCCGGGCUCGAGGCCUGGGAGCUGUGCUCCUGGAGAUCAUCUUUGAAUUCUGA